rnacentral:rRNA from 1 species
UACAGAGGUCCCGAGCGUUGUUCGGAUUCACUGGGCGUAAAGGGUGCGUAGGUGGCAUGUUAAGUUUGAUGUGAAAGCUCAGGGCUCAACCCUGAAAUGGCAUUGAAUACUAGCGUGCUGGAGGUUUGGAGGGGGGACUGGAAUUCUCGGUGUAGCAGUGAAAUGCGUAGAUAUCGAGAGGAACACCAGUGGCGAAGGCGAGUCCCUGGACAACACCUGACACUGAGGCACGAAAGCGUGGGGAGCGAUCCGG